rnacentral:rRNA from 1 species
GACAGAGGUGCCGAGCGUUAGGCGGAAUCACUGGGCUUAAAGCGUGUGUAGGCGGGCCGUUAAGUGUCUUGUGAAAUCCCCCGGCUCAACCGGGGAAUUGCUGGGCAUACUGGCGGUCUUGAGCAAUCUAGGGGCAGAUGGAACAAGUGGUGGAGCGGUGAAAUGCGUAGAUAUCACUUGGAACGCCAACGGUGAAGACAGUCUGCUGGGGAUUUGCUGACGCUGAGACGCGAAAGCGUGGGGAGCGAACAGG